rnacentral:lncRNA from 1 species
ACUUAAAAGCUAAUAGCUUUUUUAUAUCAACCCUUUUGAGGUGAAGAAAUAUUGCACUUUUAAGUUGCCAUAAUUUUUUGUAAGAACAAAUAGAUGAUAAAUUGAUGGAUUUAAUUAGGAAAGGGCUAUAUUGGAGGUAAGAAAAAACUAAGUAUAGCGAUUAGAAAAGGAAAAACGGUUUAUGUGUCUGCUUCUUCAUUAUUUAAUAUGUUAUAGGGGUGUUAAGAUGUCGUUUGAAUGGAAGAAUUCUUGCCUGUCUUUGUUGUGAAUUGAUUUCAAAAUGUACAAUAAAAUAAAUAUUCAAGAAUUAAACAUAAUUAGGAUAUUUUUUCUGGCUUAAUUCUAUUUGAAAUGUAGAAGCUCUCCUUUAUAGCAGUAAUUAAUUCUCUCCUCCCCCAAAUUAUGUAACAGGAAGCUAAUAUUUACAAAGAUCUUAAUCCAGUAGUACCAAAUAUUUCGCUCCCGCCUUCUCCUCGCGCUUUUACACAAAUCUCAUCUCUAGUUAUAUCACAAUGUACAAAGGCGCUGAGAUUAAUAUUACUAUAUAAAAAACUGGAUUUCACUCCUCGAACAAUUUACCCCUCUAUUACAACGAAUAGAAACCAUACAACGAAUUUUUCAAUUUUUCUUUAUAUAAUCAUACAAAACAAACAAAAUUAUUAUUUUAACUAAAUGACAUAAAAAGAUUUGGAAAACCUGCAGUCUAAUUUAUGCUACGAAAAAUAUGUCUGAGACUAAGAAUCAAAAAAAUCUCCUUCGGAUCUCUUCGUCUACAAUGUAUUACUAGGGAUGGAAAUCGCGUGUAUUCUGGGGAGGUAAAAAUAAAAGUUAUCGAAAAUCAUCCCGGUAACCCUGGAAAUUUGAACAAGGACAUUGGCAAGAAUUACUCCCCCGUCCAAUUCUACUCUGAGUCCAUCAAUAACUUUUAUAUUAUAACUUAUUAAAAAAUCCUCAAAGUUACUCUCUGUAUUUUAUGAUCAAACAGAAAUGUCCAAUCAGGUUUUGAAUAUAAUUGAAUAUGGUAAUAAAAAAAAUCACUACU